CUGACAGGUUCUUCUUCGUGCUACAGGCCUACGUGAGCCCAGCUGAGCCAGGGCUAAAACGCCUGAGGAAUCCACCGGCAUCUUCCUUCCUUCACGCCACAGUCUAGAGGACUGCUGCUGUGAAAUGAUAGACACUUGGGAGGAAUCUCAUCGCACUGUAAGAAGCUACUGACUUCACGGAAAACCCAACUUGAAUUUCACACCUCAUAGGCUCGCUUGCUAGAUCACACACGUUCUGAAUCUUUCAGAGCUACUUUUAGAUGCACUGGUAGCAUGGGAAAGCAUAUUUUCCUGUUCUCUGUCAUAUGGAUAAAAGAACACAUAUUCAGAGGGAAUCUGACCAUUGCUACAGCCUAAAAUGUUUGCUUAAGUAGGAUUUUGAAACAUUCUACAGCCAACCACGUGGGCAGGUUUCCGUACACAGAGGAAGACCACUAUACCGGAGUACAAAUGCAAAGAGGACUUCCAGUUUAGUGAAGAUCUGAAUGCCCCACAUUUAUAAAUCUUCUUAGAAAAGCAGGAGGUCAGGGAAUGUCAAAGGUGGAGGCCGCCGCUUUAGACAACUCAGGCUGCAGACCCGUCCCCAAACCAUGCCACUGGACACUGCUGGAGAGCCUGGCCUUCAUAUCUUUUCGCUUCUUUUAAUAAAGUGAAUCCACCAAUUUCAAAGAACAAAGUGACCACCAAAAGCGGGACUUUGUGGGCCAGUUGGAUAAAACAUAAGCUCAUCUCGCCCCCAAAACCCCGACUCUGGAACCACAACCUUCCGAGAUUCAAUUUGUAAGUAAAGUAUCUUUGCAAAGUAUGCCCAAUCAGCUGAAAGAAUCAUUGCUUAUAAAAUGGCUAGUUUUCUGACUAAAAAAAGAGAAUAUUGUAGCCAAGUCACAGUUCACACUCCUUCACUUUCUGGAGAGCGGGAAUUGCUAAUAGAUAUUACUUGCUUUUACUCAUGUUUUAUGAAUUAUUUGCUAAGUAGAUAAGGAGCACCUUCUACAAGUGUCUAUAAAAUGACGCAGAAUUCACCCGGAAUAACAAAGUGAUUUAUUAGAUCCAGCACCCAAAGCAUCUGAGACUUCGUCUCAAAGUAACACCUACUUGUGCUUAUCUGUUCCACUGUAUUGCAAACUCAAGUUGAAACAGUAUAGAGAUGCCUGUCAUUAUUCUAAAUUUGUUACUCCUUUAAUAAUGUGCCGGAAAAUAUUUUCAGUUUACUUGAAGCAGUUGGGACUUUUCCCAUCAGCAAUGGUACUUUCAAGCGUUCGGCAGUAUGUCUGGAAGCUCGCUAGCCUCGGCAUUAUGCUUCUUAAGAACUUCUUGUAAAGAUGAGAGAAAAAUAAAGCUCUCUAGAUAAAAGGAGCAUAUUUUCUAAAUC